rnacentral:rRNA from 1 species
UACGUAGGGUGCAAGCGUUGUCCGGAAUUAUUGGGCGUAAAGAGCUCGUAGGCGGUUUGUCGCGUCGAAUGUGAAAACCCGCAGCUUAACUGCGGGCUUGCGGUUGAUACGGGCGGGCUAGAGUUCGGUAGGGGAGACUGGAAUUCCUGGUGUAGCGGUGAAAUGCGCAGAUAUCAGGAGGAACACCGGUGGCGAAGGCGGGUCUCUGGGCCGAUACUGACGCUGAGGAGCGAAAGCGUGGGGAGCGAACAGG